rnacentral:rRNA from 1 species
UACGUAGGGUGCAAGCGUUGUCCGGAAUUAUUGGGCGUAAAGAGCUCGUAGGCGGUCUGUCGCGUCUGCUGUGAAAACUCGGGGCUUAACCCCGGGCCUGCAGUGGGUACGGGCAAACUUGAGUGCGGUAGGGGAGACUGGAAUUCCUGGUGUAGCGGUGAAAUGCGCAGAUAUCAGGAGGAACACCGGUGGCGAAGGCGGAUCUCUGGGCCAUUACUGACGCUGAGGAGCGAAAGCGUGGGGAGCGAACAGG